rnacentral:misc_RNA from 1 species
GCCAGUUUUCAAGAUUCAUAGUAUCAACAAUAAUUAGCAAUAAAAUAGACUAACAGAACAAUCCAACUACAAACACUGAGGCACACUUUUGUAUUUCAACAGCCUUCUUUCAAGCAAAGUAUACGAAUGGCUCGUUCCGCUCUGGAUGAGAUGUCAGCAACAGGUGCUUUUGAGAGAACUGCUUCAACCUUCCGUAAUAUAGUCUCAAGGGAACCCGGCUCAGUUUUUCCAGUCGAAUCUGGGAGGUACCACCUCUACAUAUCAUAUGCUUGCCCAUGGGCAUCAAGGUGCCUGGCUUACUUGAAGAUUAAAGGCCUUGAUCAAGCCAUUGAUUUCACAUCUGUUAAACCUGUUUGGGAGAGGACGAAGGACAGCGAUGAGCACACGGGAUGGGUUUUUGCUUCAUCAAGCACCGAGGAAGCAGGAGCUGAUCUUGAUCCUCUUAAUGGAGCCAAAAGCAUACGGGAGCUGUAUGAGCUUGCAAGUACAAACUAUUCUGGGAAAUACACUGUUCCGGUUCUUUGGGAUAAGAAACUGAAGACAAUCGUGAACAACGAGAGUGCAGAAAUAAUACGCAUGUUU